UAGAUUAAGUUAUUAAGGGCGCACGGUGGAUGCCUUGGCACUAGAAGCCGAUGAAGGACGUUACUAACGACGAUAUGCUUUGGGGAGCUGUAAGUAAGCUUUGAUCCAGAGAUUUCCGAAUGGGGAAACCCAGCAUGAGUUAUGUCAUGUUAUCGAUAUGUGAAUACAUAGCAUAUCAGAAGGCACACCCGGAGAACUGAAACAUCUUAGUACCCGGAGGAAGAGAAAGAAAAUUCGAUUCCCUUAGUAGCGGCGAGCGAAACGGGAAGAGCCCAAACCAACAAGCUUGCUUGUUGGGGUUGUAGGACACUCUAUACGGAGUUACAAAGGACGACAUUAGACGAAUCAUCUGGAAAGAUGAAUCAAAGAAGGUAAUAAUCCUGUAGUCGAAAAUGUUGUCUCUCUUGAGUGGAUCCUGAGUACGACGGAGCACGUGAAAUUCCGUCGGAAUCUGGGAGGACCAUCUCCUAAGGCUAAAUACUCUCUAGUGACCGAUAGUGAACCAGUACCGUGAGGGAAAGGUGAAAAGCACCCCGGAAGGGGAGUGAAAUAGAACCUGAAACCGUGUGCUUACAAGUAGUCAGAGCCCGUUAAUGGGUGAUGGCGUGCCUUUUGUAGAAUGAACCGGCGAGUUACGAUUUGAUGCAAGGUUAAGCAGUAAAUGUGGAGCCGUAGCGAAAGCGAGUCUGAAUAGGGCGUUUAGUAUUUGGUCGUAGACCCGAAACCAGGUGAUCUACCCUUGGUCAGGUUGAAGUUCAGGUAACACUGAAUGGAGGACCGAACCGACUUACGUUGAAAAGUGAGCGGAUGAACUGAGGGUAGCGGAGAAAUUCCAAUCGAACCUGGAGAUAGCUGGUUCUCUCCGAAAUAGCUUUAGGGCUAGCCUCAAGUGAUGAUUAUUGGAGGUAGAGCACUGUUUGGACGAGGGGCCCCUCUCGGGUUACCGAAUUCAGACAAACUCCGAAUGCCAAUUAAUUUAACUUGGGAGUCAGAACAUGGGUGAUAAGGUCCGUGUUCGAAAGGGAAACAGCCCAGACCACCAGCUAAGGUCCCAAAAUAUAUGUUAAGUGGAAAAGGAUGUGGCGUUGCCCAGACAACUAGGAUGUUGGCUUAGAAGCAGCCAUCAUUUAAAGAGUGCGUAAUAGCUCACUAGUCGAGUGACACUGCGCCGAAAAUGUACCGGGGCUAAACAUAUUACCGAAGCUGUGGAUUGUCCUUUGGACAAUGGUAGGAGAGCGUUCUAAGGGCGUUGAAGCAUGAUCGUAAGGACAUGUGGAGCGCUUAGAAGUGAGAAUGCCGGUGUGAGUAGCGAAAGACGGGUGAGAAUCCCGUCCACCGAUUGACUAAGGUUUCCAGAGGAAGGCUCGUCCGCUCUGGGUUAGUCGGGUCCUAAGCUGAGGCCGACAGGCGUAGGCGAUGGAUAACAGGUUGAUAUUCCUGUACCACCUAUAAUCGUUUUAAUCGAUGGGGGACGCAGUAGGAUAGGCGAAGCGUGCGAUUGGAUUGCACGUCUAAGCAGUAAGGCUGAGUAUUAGGCAAAUCCGGUACUCGUUAAGGCUGAGCUGUGAUGGGGAGAAGACAUUGUGUCUUCGAGUCGUUGAUUUCACACUGCCGAGAAAAGCCUCUAGAUAGAAAAUAGGUGCCCGUACCGCAAACCGACACAGGUAGUCAAGAUGAGAAUUCUAAGGUGAGCGAGCGAACUCUCGUUAAGGAACUCGGCAAAAUGACCCCGUAACUUCGGGAGAAGGGGUGCUCUUUAGGGUUAACGCCCAGAAGAGCCGCAGUGAAUAGGCCCAAGCGACUGUUUAUCAAAAACACAGGUCUCUGCUAAACCGUAAGGUGAUGUAUAGGGGCUGACGCCUGCCCGGUGCUGGAAGGUUAAGAGGAGUGGUUAGCUUCUGCGAAGCUACGAAUCGAAGCCCCAGUAAACGGCGGCCGUAACUAUAACGGUCCUAAGGUAGCGAAAUUCCUUGUCGGGUAAGUUCCGACCCGCACGAAAGGCGUAACGAUUUGGGCACUGUCUCAACGAGAGACUCGGUGAAAUCAUAGUACCUGUGAAGAUGCAGGUUACCCGCGACAGGACGGAAAGACCCCGUGGAGCUUUACUGUAGCCUGAUAUUGAAAUUCGGCACAGCUUGUACAGGAUAGGUAGGAGCCUUUGAAACGUGAGCGCUAGCUUACGUGGAGGCGCUGGUGGGAUACUACCCUAGCUGUGUUGGCUUUCUAACCCGCACCACUUAUCGUGGUGGGAGACAGUGUCAGGCGGGCAGUUUGACUGGGGCGGUCGCCUCCUAAAAGGUAACGGAGGCGCUCAAAGGUUCCCUCAGAAUGGUUGGAAAUCAUUCAUAGAGUGUAAAGGCAUAAGGGAGCUUGACUGCGAGACCUACAAGUCGAGCAGGGUCGAAAGACGGACUUAGUGAUCCGGUGGUUCCGCAUGGAAGGGCCAUCGCUCAACGGAUAAAAGCUACCCCGGGGAUAACAGGCUUAUCUCCCCCAAGAGUUCACAUCGACGGGGAGGUUUGGCACCUCGAUGUCGGCUCAUCGCAUCCUGGGGCUGUAGUCGGUCCCAAGGGUUGGGCUGUUCGCCCAUUAAAGCGGUACGCGAGCUGGGUUCAGAACGUCGUGAGACAGUUCGGUCCCUAUCCGUCGUGGGCGUAGGAAAUUUGAGAGGAGCUGUCCUUAGUACGAGAGGACCGGGAUGGACAUACCUCUGGUGUACCAGUUGUCGUGCCAACGGCAUAGCUGGGUAGCUAUGUAUGGACGGGAUAAGUGCUGAAAGCAUCUAAGCAUGAAGCCCCCCUCAAGAUGAGAUUUCCCAACUUCGGUUAUAAGAUCCCUCAAAGAUGAUGAGGUUAAUAGGUUCGAGGUGGAAGCAUGGUGACAUGUGGAGCUGACGAAUACUAAUCGAUCGAAGACUUAAUCAA
rnacentral:rRNA from 1 species